rnacentral:rRNA from 1 species
GACGAACGCUGGCGGCGUGCUUAACACAUGCAAGUCGAGCGGUAAGGCCCUUCGGGGGUACACGAGCGGCGAACGGGUGAGUAACACGUGGGUGACCUGCCCUCAGCUCUGGGAUAAGCCUGGGAAACCGGGUCUAAUACUGGAUAUGACUCCAUGAUGCAUGUUGUGGGGUGGAAAGCCUUGUGCGGCUGAGGAUGGGCCCGCGGCCUAUCAGCUUGUUGGUGGGGNGAUGGCCUACCAAGGCGACGACGGGUAGCCGGCCUGAGAGGGCGACCGGCCACACUGGGACUGAGACACGGCCCAGACUCCUACGGGAGGCAGCAGUGGGGAAUCUUGCGCAAUGGGCGAAAGCCUGACGCAGCGACGCCGCGUGAGGGAUGACGGCCU